rnacentral:rRNA from 1 species
GAUGAACGCUGGCGGCGUGCUUAACACAUGCAAGUCGAACGGAAAGGCCCAAGCUUGCUUGGGUACUCGAGUGGCGAACGGGUGAGUAACACGUGGGUGAUCUGCCCUGCACUUCGGGAUAAGCCUGGGAAACUGGGUCUAAUACCGGAUAGGACCACAUUUUGGAUGGUGUGGUGGAAAGUUUUUCGGUGUGGGAUAAGCUCGCGGCCUAUCAGCUUGUUGGUGGGGUAAUGGCCUACCAAGGCGUCGACGGGUAGCCGGCCUGAGAGGGUGUACGGCCACAUUGGGACUGAGAUACGGCCCAGACUCCUACGGGAGGCAGCAGUGGGGAAUAUUGCACAAUGGGCGCAAGCCUGAUGCAGCGACGCCGCGUGGGGGAUGACGGCCUUCGGGUUGUAAACUCCUUUCGCUAGGGACGAAGCGUUAUGUGGCGGUACCUGGAGAAGAAGCACCGGCUAACUACGUG